rnacentral:rRNA from 1 species
AAGCUACGCGGUAGGGCUUAACACAUGCAAGUCGAGACGCGUAGCACUCUCCAUCGGCAGACGGGCUGAGAUAACUCGAUAGGGAAUCUUCCUAUCAGUACUAGAAACAGACUCUCCGGCAAACUGGAAACUUAUACCGUAUUCGGUCCUUAGGCGAGAAAGAUUUAUUCGGUGAUGGAGGAGCCCGCGUUGGAUUAUCUAGUUGGUGGGGUAAUGGCCUACCAUGGCAACGAUGCCAUAUCUGGUCUGAGAGGAUGAUCACUCCACAUUGGGACUGAGACACAGAGCCAUACUCCUACAGGAGGCAACAGUGGGGAAUAUUGGACAAUGGGCGAAAGCCUGAUCCAGCCUGCCGCGUGAGUGAUGAAGCCCUAGGGUUGUAAAGCUCUUUCACCGGUCAAGAUAAUGGCGGUAACCGCGAUAUCAAGCCCCGGCGUAACUUCGUGCCAGCGGCCGCGGUAAUACGAAGGGGCUAGCUGUUGUUCAGAAUUACUGGGC